GACACGGCCCAGACUCUUUCGGGAGGCAGCAGUGAGGAAUAUUGGACAAUGGGCGCAAGCCUGAUCCAGCUAUGUUGCGUGAGUGAUGACAGUUCCAUAUAAACAUGCCAAGGCACGUUGAAUUGUAAAACUCUUUUAUCAAUGUUCAUAGUGAUAUAAUUGAUGAAUAAGCUCCGGCCAACUCCGUGCCAGCAGCCGCGGUAAUACGGGGGGAGCAAGCGUUGCUCAGUUUAACUGGGCGUAAAGUGCACUAAGGCUGUUUUAUAAGUUAAUAAUUAAACCUUGAAGCUCAACUUCAUACAAUUAUUAAUACUGUUUAACUAGAAUAUAAUGGGGGUGAACAGAAUUCCAAGUGUAGAGGUUAAAUUCGUUGAUAUUUGGAGGACUACCGAAGGCGAAGGCAGUUCACUAUGUUAUUAUUGACGCUUAUUGUGCGAAAGCGUGGGUAGCAAACAGGAUUAGAUACCCUGGUAGUCCACGCUGUAAACGAUGAGUGCUAGCAGUUAAAGCUAAGAUUAUAUAUAUAACAUUAUAUAAUCCUAUAUGCUAAGAUUGCACAGCUAACGCGUUAAGCACUCCGCCAGGGUAGUACGGUCGCAAGAUUGAAACCCAAAGGAAUUGACGGAGGCCCGUCCAAGCGGUGGAGCAUGUGGUUUAAUUCGAAACUACACGAAGAAUCUUACCAGCCCUUGACAUUUUAGGCUAAGAACAUUUAAUUAAAGUUAACUAUCGUUCCGAAAAGGACAGGCCUUUAACAGGUGCUGCAUGGCUGUCGUCAGCUUGUGUCGUGAGAUGUAUGGUUAAGUCCCAUAACGAGCGCAACCCUUAUCCCUAGUUGCUUAAAAUAUAAAUCAGCUCUCUAGGGGGACUGCUAAUUCAAAGUUAGAGGAAGGAGAGGAUAACGUCAAGUCAUCAUGGCCCUUAUGGGCUGGGCCACACACGUGCUACAAUGGCAACCACAGAGAGUCGCAAUGCCGCGAGGCUGAGCAAAUCUUUUAAAAGUUGUCUAAGUUCAGAUUGCACCUCUGUAAUUCGAGUGCAUGAAGUUGGAAUCGCUAGUAAUCGCGGAUCAGCAUGCCGCGGUGAAUACGUUCUCGGGCCUAGU
rnacentral:rRNA from 1 species